GCGCACCAGGCGAGAAUUUUUCUCAAUGGGGGCAACCCUGAAGGAGCGACGCCGCGUGGAGGAUGAAGGCUUUCGGGUCGUAAACUCCUGUCAUUUGAGAACAAGUGCCGACACCUAACUACUGUUGGCUUGAUAGUAUCAGAAGAGGAAGGGACGGCUAACUCUGUGCCGGCAGCCGCGGUAAUACAGAGGUCCCAAGCGUUGUUCGGAUUCAUUGGGCGUAAAGGGUGCGUAGGUGGCGCCGUAAGUGGGGUGUGAAAUUCCGGAGCUUAACUCCGAAACUGCAUUCCAUACUGCGGUGCUUGAGGACUGGAGAGGAGACUGGAAUUUACGGUGUAGCAGUGAAAUGCGUAGAGAUCGUAAGGAAGACCAGUGGCGAAGGCGGGUCUCUGGACAGUUCCUGACAUUGAGGCACGAAGGCCAGGGGAGCGAACGGGAUUAGAUACCCCGGUAGU
rnacentral:rRNA from 1 species